GUUGGACAGAAUACUAAAAUCAGGUGAACUUUGGAAGGGAUCUCUAUCUCCUCCCCAAAAUAAAAAAAAAAAAUUGCUUGCAACUUGCUAGAUCUAAAUAAGAUGUUUCAAUUUGAUGAUUAUCAGCUUACCAUUUAACAUCACUAAACUAAAGUCUUAUGAAUGAUUAAUUAGUUUGAAACAAAUAUUUAGAAUAAGUAGUAUAUACACACAAACUUUGUUAAAUCCUUACCUUUGAUCUUUGAAGUUUUGAACUGUGACAUUUUAUAUAUAAAAUAUUAUAGGUUUAAUGAUACAAUUAUUUAUGUAUGAAAUAGUUUAUCAAUACUUAGGUUUAGGAUUAGAAUUUUUAAUAUAGAAUUUUGAAUUAUUUUAUAAUAACUAGAAAAUAUGUUUAGUAUUAUAAAAUAAAAUUAAGAUUACCAAUCAUGAAAAAAAGGGGUAGACCUAAAU
rnacentral:misc_RNA from 1 species